CCUUCUAAUCGCCGUCUGUCAUUCGCAGCUAACGUCCAGAUGCUCACAGUCGAUUGGCUUGGUGAUUACUUCGAACGCCAACUGAACUCAUGGUGAUUACUAGCUAGCUUCAAGAAUAACCUGACGGAUGGAUAACCAACCCUGAAUAGUAUAAAUACCGCCAUAUUAUUUUACAAGAAAACUAAACAAGUAUGAGCGUGUGAAACCAACCAAAACUCAAGUCACAUCAGUACAAUCCGUCCUGUAAUUCAUAUAAUUUUGCUUGGAUUAAAUAUUACAAUUGCUUAGAGAGAGAGAGAGCGCCCCUUUUUAGCUGUACUAGAAAUUCCUAAAAAAGGUGUACUAGAAAUUUGUCUAAAAAAAGUUGUACUACAAAUAAGAGAAUAGUCCCACAUUGCUAUCUCAUACCAAUUCCCAUCAAUUUAUAUGUGCUGGCAAGUUCCUUGGAAUGUCAACAAGUGGUUUAUUAUUAGGGAAAAGAUAUGCGAGGUGGAACCACGUUGUGUGCAUCGAACGAUCGCAUCCAGAUUGGGCCCUCUCUAUUCGUACGUCAUCCAUGCUGGGCCAGGUUGGGCCUUAGCUUACCAUCAAAGUAGGAACAAUUCAGCCAACGGAGUCACGCAAGUCUCGAGUUGCCCAAGGAUCUCAUUGACGUCCCUUUAAGGAAGUUAGUCCAUGGAUCCGCCGUUGACAAUCUCAAGUCCUUCACGUCCCAAUCGAUUGCAAGCUAGGUCCCCACGCCCAAUCGAUCGCAAGCCAGGCCGACGAGGCAAAGGAACACGGAAGGAACAUGGUGGAAAAUAAAUCAGCAGACUAUAGUUAUGCCAACUAUUCAGACAUAUAGAAUGCAAAGUCAAAGCUCAGAAAAAACAAGAACACAAAAGCAUCAUUAAAUUGUUCUUUUGACGAUUUGUUUGACAAAGUAAGCAGAGGGAAUUCACUUAUAUUUUACUUUUUGAAAAGUUUAGGAUCGCAUCCUAGAGAAGGUCAAUAAAAAUGGUUGCACAAAAAAGAUACACCGAGGGAUUCAUCAAAAAAAUUGCAAGUUGCUGUCAGUGGUGUUUUAAUUACUAUGUGUGCAUUUUUAGUUUGCUAGAAUUUUUGUUUUAGGUUGCUAGAAUAAAAAAGGGAUUUUCACGGUUUUGUAAAAAAACCUUGAAGUUCAAAUUUUAAAAAAUGCACAAUGUUUAUUAAAAAAAACUAUGAUUUCUUCCGUUACAAAAAGAAAUAAAACCAAGAAGUCGAAAUCAAAAAGGAGGAUCAGUUUGAUGAUUAUACUCCCUCUGUCCCAAAUUUCUUGUCUUAGAUUUGUCUAGAUACGGAUGUAUUGUCUAGAUACGGAUGUAUCAAGUCACAUUUUAGUAUUAGAUACAUCCGUAUCUAGACAAAUCUAAGACACGAAUUUUGGGAUGGAGGGAGUACAAUAUUCGGAUUUGUCAGAAGUGGCGCGCCGAGCAGAUUUGUAAAAUGAGCCACAUUUUACAACUCUCAUUAAAUUUGAUUCCACGUCAAAGUUUUCUUCCGUUGCAACGCGCGGGCAUUUGUGCUAGUCUAUCCCUAAUAAUAAAGCACGGAUUGACUUUGUCGGGUUCACCGUCACAAUACGCUUUCUUCUUGUGAAUUUACGCUUUUACUUUGAAUUUAAACGUAUAAGCGAGGUGGUACUAAUUCGGGGAACCAAUCUGACUAUGCAUGCGGUGCCAGCAGCCCAAAACAAUUUGCAACCGGGCCGGAUCGACCUCCCGAGACACGCAAACAUGGAAUCUGACAAACGAUGCGUUGCCGCAGCAGACUCGGUCUCCUUCCUAUUCUUUCGUCGAUCUCCCUCGACUUGGGCUUCGUACAUCGAGAUCGAGAGAGGCUCUUACCUGCGAGGCUGGGAGAGAGCAGUCAGGCGGCGGCGGUGGCUCGAAGCACAGUCAGGCGGUGGCGGCUAGCGCGACGCCCGCAGCCACCUCACGUUCCCUCGAUCUUCAUCCUAUUAGCUUUUUUGCCACCGUCACGCCGGUCCAGGCCCUGCCUCUGCCUGAGGCCACGCUAGGGCGCCGCCACCCACCUCACCCCCUUUGCACAUCCAAUCUCUCUUUCAGAUUCAGAUCCAGGCUGCUCAUCGGUGUGGAUCCCCAGCCGAAGCAUGAACAUCGAUCCAGGCAGACCUCCUCUCCGAAUUCAGCCACUGGGGCAUGGCUCCCCUGCGGUUUGAAUCUGGGCGCUCGUCAACAGAGCAACCAGAGAGGUGAGCUCUGGCUUUGGAUGCGUGGAGGGUAGGGGCCAGAGCCACCACGGCAGCCACGAGAGCGACAUGGACCUGCCAUGCUCGUCAACGACUUCCUCGAGAGCGGCGAUGGAGGUGGAGACUCGCGCAGCAGCAGCGACGGCGAGCCCGACGGUCCCGACCUCACCCACGCAUUGCUGUUCACAACCAUGGCUUACCCCCCACAUCGUGUUCGUCUGCUAGGCAUGUUGGUUAGGUAGCUGGCUCUGCUUCAGAAUCUCUGAUCAGUACAUGUUGGAGGAACAUCUCUGCAAUCACAUGUAUAGCAGUCGCUUACCAGUAUAUAUUUUGGGUAGCAGCUACUCCCUCUGUUCCUAAAUAUUUGUGUUUCUAGAGAUUUCAACAAGUGACUACAUACGGAGCAAAAUGAGUGAAUAUACACUCUAAAAUAUGUCUAUAUACAUCCGUAUGUGAUAGUUCAUUUGAAAUCUCAAAAAAGACAAAUAUUUAGGAACGGAGGGAGUACUUUCGAGUAAAUUGUUGGUAUAUAGUAAGUACAGUGCUGCUAUCCCGUUUUGCUCAGAAUUUACUCUGUAGAACCACAGUGCAUGAUAACAUGAACAAAAAUAUUGAUAUAUGUGGCAUGUUGAUUUUACUCCAUGACCACAGGGGAGAACAAAAAUAGAUGUACAAGCAAGCUGAAAACAAGAAGGAAAUUGAGUUGCUUUCCAUGGUUCACUCACCAUUGUUCUUAGUCCAUAAGAUAGAGCUUCAGGCUUGGUUCAAAAUCACAUCCAUGCUUAGUUUCUUACCAUCUACUUAUUGCUUGGUUAUUUAUCUGCCUAUUUUAUUGUUAUACUAGCAGACAUUCUCACAAAUCUUGCCCAAUGUUUUGACAUUUUCAGUACCUUUUCAUUGGCUAUUUCUUUGAAGCUUGAAUUACAAAAAGGAUAAAGGAGAAAUAUUGUGUACCAUGGUAUGAUAUAAUAUACCAGUUCCAUGAUAUGUGGUAAAUUUCCAUGGAAAUUGCCUAGAGUUUCUCAUCUUCGGUAAUGCUGGCAGAGAGUGGGAGCACAAAAUCGUUUGGAGAUUUAUGAUGUGAGAUCUAAUAUAUAAAUCUUUAUAUAUUCAUCUUUUCUUAGUUAACCUGCUUUUCGGAACAAAUUGUCAUAAUACAUGUAGGAAAAAUAUAUGUGCAAGGAUAUGAAUUGUCCAAGCUCAGGCCACUGCUGGACAAGGUACUCACCUACUUUGAGGCAUGCAUCUGGCAAGGUGUUCAUUGGUGUGGAACUCUGGCAUCCGGCGCAAGGUGUUCAUUGGGGCAGGGAUCGAUGGAGACGAAGUUGUGCAUGACGAAAUCCCUGAAGUGGCCCCUAGAUACUGCUGAAUGACCGGGUCACAGGCGGCAUCCAUCCAAUCUCGCCGUUCCGCCGACUUAGCAGGAACACUAUCCGCUCGUGCUCCACCCUUCACCGGAACUCCGUCUGACCAUGCUUCACCCGAGAUAUGUACUACAGUUUCAGAAGAUAAUUAAUACCCAAUGCAUAGCUUCUCUGUUGCCCAAUGUACCACAACUUAUUAUGCAAUCCAGUUCUGCACCACUGGAGCAUUAUUAUUUAUGUAAUAAUGCUUCUACUUUCUGCAGAAGCGACAAUAAAACACUUCUCUUGAGAAUCUAGCACAUAAGGCAAUUGUAUGCUGGGUUUUAGACAUAGACAAUGCAGCUGGGAAUAUUAAUCGUAUGUUGGGUUUCAGACAUAGGCAAUGCAGCUACCUAGAAUUGACUUGAAGUUGUUUCUUUUGCUGAGGUAGGACGUAGGAAACAUGCAGCUUGAACCAGAGCAGAAAAAUGUACUGCAAUUUGGUUUGCAUCUUUAAUAUAUGUCUAGAGGUAUAAUGUAUAUGUAGUAGGUGCGGUUCUGUUGUUUCUUUUAUUUUCUUUUACAUAGUCUAUUGACUGGUAGCAGGAUGAGAGGGAAGUUAGCAAGUCACCAGCUUUGAAAGAAUAAUUUUUUUCUUCAGUAUUUAAGCAAUUACUUACUUUUGAAGAGUUA